rnacentral:rRNA from 1 species
CCUACGGGCGGCAGCAGUGGGGAAUAUUGCACAAUGGGGGAAACCCUGAUGCAGCGACGCCGCGUGAAGGAAGAAGUAUUUCGGUAUGUAAACUUCUAUCAGCAGGGAAGAAAAUGACGGUUCCUGAAUAAGAGGCCCCGGCGAACUACGUGCCAGCAGCCGCGGUAAUACGUAGGGCGCAAGCGUUCUCCGGAUUUACUGGGCUGAAGGUGAGCGUAAGCGGCGAAGCAAGUAAGAUGUGAAAGCCCGGGGCUCAACCCCGGGACUGCUUUUGAUACUGGAUGGCUAGAUUGCAGGAGGGGCAAGUGGAAUUCCUAGUGUAGCGGUGAAAUGCGUAGAGAUGAGGAGGAACACCAGAGGCGAAGGCGGCUUGCUGGACUGGAAAUGACGCUGAGGCUCGAAAGCGUGGGGAGCAAACAGGAUUAGAUACCCGAGUAGUC